rnacentral:lncRNA from 1 species
GGCACCACAGUUUGUAUUUACAUCUCCAUAGAAAUGAAUAUUUCCAUCACUGUAGACACCGGUUUUGUCCGGGUCUACUACCAUUUUUUAUAUAUAUAUAUAUAUAUUAAUAUUUAUAAUAAUAAAUAAAAAAAUUAAAAAUUAAAAAAAGAAGCAGAAAAAAUUAUAAAAUAAUAAAAUAAAAGACAAAGUCAAAAAAACAGGGGGGUUGGUGCGGCGCCGCUGCCGCCCCCUGGCAGCCACCCGACCAGCCCCCAACCAACUCUCCUAGCCACCCUACUAGCCACCUGCUACCCACCUCAUACCAAUUCCCUUUUAAACCCGAAAAAAAUCGACAGAACAGAGGUAAAAAAAGGAGGAGAUCCUCAACCUCGUUCAAAAGAAAAAAAAAAACAAAAAAAACAGAAACAAAAAAAAAACACAACAGAAACAGAAAACAAAAAACACAGUCCUCGCCUAUUCGGCGAGGAACCCAGCGCCAAAAAGCCACCUGCAAAAGCAAAAAAGGAAAAAUCGUUAGUAUUUCAACAAAAAAAAAAAAAAGAGAGAGAGAAGAAAAACCGAAACUUUGAACCUCGAUCUACGCCGAUCGGGGUUGCUUUUGGCAGAACGGACAACGGAUCUGGGAUCAGGAGGCUGAACAGAACCUCCUGUCCCCUUUUCAAAUUUCUGACCACCGUCGGCGACGGCCCCCACGGCGGCCGGUGAGGCGGCCGGCGACCACGCGGCGGCCGGACGGCAUCCCUCUCCCCUGCUCUCUCUCUCUUCCCUCUCUCCCUUUUUUUUUCUGAAAACCAACCCAACUAACCAAAAAAAAUUUUCUGACCUUUUUAUAUAAACAGCCAAAAUCAAAACGACGUCGUUUCAUUAAAGCCUCAAAACGACGUCGUUUUGAUCCAGAGGAUCCGCGCGUCAACCCGCGACCCGACCCGGGGUCGCGUGCCUGACCCGCGACCCGUUUCUUCUUCAGCCUCUGACCGGUCUGACUGGACCGGUACCGAACCGCCCAAACCAAGUCGAACCGCCAGUGAACCGGAUCGAACCGCCCAGACCGCCCGAACCGCCGAACCGGUCGGACCGCCCUGACCAGCGUUGACCGGACCGUUGACCGGUCCGGUUCAGGUAAAAAAAAUUUUUUUUUUUUGAAUUUUCUAAUAUUUUUUAUUAUUAUUUUGUUAUUUUUAAAUAUAUUUUUACGUGAUAAAUUUAUAAAUUUGUUAGAAUAAAUGUUUAAUUAUUUUUAUAAUAAUAAAAUUAAAAACAAAUAAUAAUUAAAAAUAUAUUAAAAUGCUUAAAAAAAAUUAAUUUUUGUUAUUUUCCCUGCCUAGAUGUUGGAGGGAAUAAAAAAUAUUUUUUUUCUAAAAAAUAAUUCGGCCUAGAUGUUGGGGAAUUAUUAUUAAUAAAUUUUAAUAAAAAUAAAUAUAAGAAAAUUUUAAAUUAAUUUUCAAAAAUCAUUAAAAUCGAACUUGCUUCGAAAAUCUGCCUAGAUGAUGGGGAUUUUAGAGAUGUUCGUAUUUUCUUAAAAAUGAAACCUUAAGCACUAUUUCUUAAUUUCCAAAAUCCUAGGUUUCUAAAACCCCUAAAAAUCCAAAAUCCAUUAAAUCCAAAAUCUUUGAAACCUAAAAUUCUAAAAAAAAAAAUCCCAAGAACUCGUGUGAAAAUUCUAUUCGAAGCAAUUUGUUUCCGAAUGCCGCCUAGAUGAUGGGGUAUUUAGGAAAUUUUACUUCGCGAAAUCUUUUCACACGAUUUCUUAAUUCACAUUAAUAAUAAGAUUAAUAAAUUAAAAAAAAAUAUAAUAAAAUUGAGAUCCUGAAUAUAAGCUCUGCCUAGAUGUUGGGAGUUAGGGUGGUCCCAUUAUAUUUAAGAAUCCAAUCUUUUGCAUUUCAUUUUACAUGGACAUGCAUUAACAUGAUAUAUAUUAGCAUGUUAUCAUUGAUAAUUGAUUGCAUUAUUCUUUUUUUUAAUUUAUUGAUAAAAUAUUUAUAAAAAAAAUGAUACUAAAAAAAAAUCUUUCGUGAUAUUACAAAAUAAAACAAAAAUAAUAUUUCGAAAGAAAUAAUUUUUGGUUACUCUGCCUAGAUGUUGGAGAGUCACUAAUAAUUAUUUUCUAUAAAGAUUGCUAUUUUAUUUUAAGGAUUAUUGUGUUAAAUCUUAUGCGAGAAGAGUUAUUUUAAAUUCUGCCUAGACGAUGGAGAAUUUUAAGAUAAUUCUUUAACUUAAAGAUUUUCUCAAUAUUUCUAAAUAAAAAUUUUAACAAAAAUAUUUUUAAAUAAAGGGAAUUAAUGUUAAAUUUCAAAUUAAAACCAUUUUUAUCCAACGUCAAAAAUAGCGCAUAAUUAAAUGGUACCAAUUUAUGGGCGUUGUGGGGGUGCUAAUCCUUCCCCACACGUAACCGACUCCCGGACCCAACCUGGUUUUUCGUAGACCAAAAUCUAUCUUUUUGAUAAAUUUUAAACCCGUUUUAAAGUUUUAUUAAAAAGAUAAACAUAUGGGUGGCCAAUCACACCCUAACAAAGAUUGGUGGCGACUCCCUUUUAAUUUUUUUUUUCUCGAUUUUAAAACACCUCAUUUUUACGUCUGGCGGUCCCCAAAACCAUUACGACAGCUUGGCGACUCCGCUGGGGACUUAUUGAGAGUCAGGCCAAAAUUUUAAUUAUGCGCUAUUGAUGAUGGUUGAAUUUAAUUGAUUUUAUUUGAUAUUUAAUUUAAUUUCUUUUAUUUUUCGAAAACAUUCGAGCUAAUAAAUAAAAUAAAUUGUAUGAUAGUUAUUAAUUUAUUUUGAUUUUGUGGUUAUGAUUUAUUCAUGUUAUUUUGAUUUCUUUACACACACUUUGCAUAUUUACUUGUAUGCAUGAGCUCUAGACCCGGGCUCCAUCCCUUUUAGGAGGAAGUGAAGUAGCUACGCUCUCGUGAGGUGAUAACCUCCGCAUUUGCUAGCAAAACACUUCCACUCAGAUUGAACCCUUUCCGUUAGUAGCCUAUAAUGGGCGAGGAUCGGGGAACCUUACUAGUCUAUAAUGGACGAUGAUGUGAGGAAUAGUCUGGGAACCUUUAGACGCAUAAACUUUAACCCAGCAUAUCGUAAGCUAUGUGAACCUUACCGAUCUUUUUAUGGGAAUAACCAGAAAUGGUUGAUAAAAGAAAAGCAUUUCCUAAAAAAAAAAAAAAUUUUUCUCUUUACAUGCAGUUCAUUCAUUUGGUAAUUGUUCAAAUUUUAUAAUUUCAUAAAACAUUUUAGAAUAAAGUGAUUUUUUUUUAAAGCAUUAUCCAACAAACAAAACAAAAAAACAAAAAGGUUUUCAGAAAGAUUAAAGAUUUUUCUUAAAUUGGCCCAAUCAAAAAUUAAUUUUCAUAUCCUAGUUAUUUUGUUUUUCCUUUUUAAAAUUUUUAUUUUGUUUCAUCUUUUGCAUUUCAUACAUCAUAAAAAUAAUACAUGUAUCCCAUCCCAUAUACAUCAUUAAAGGUAGUGUCAUUAGGAUGACACAACACAAGCAUUACAUAUCAUGUAAAAAUAUAAUGAGCACUUGAUAGGUUCAUGCAUUUCAUACAAGUAUGCUGCAUUAGUUAUAAGAAUACAUUUCACCGUUCAUGUAAAUAUGUCGUUACAUUUCAUACAUAUAGAUUCAUAAGGUCGUAUGGAACAAACGUUACAUUUCAUAUCCCGCUAUCCCUGCAACAUAAUAUUUCUUGCAUACACAUUCAUGGUUGAUGAAAAUUUUUAUUUGGGUCUUUGUACAUAUAAAAAUUCAUCGUCAUAAGUAUAUAUGCAUUCCGUGACAUUCUCAUAUUCAUGUAUUCAUAAACAUACUUUGUGUGUUUUUGUUUUUGUGAUAUUCAUUCAAUAAAGUAAUAGUCUAGAAUUUUUUGUCUAAGUCCCGAAAUAAAAUGACUGUCUUGGUGGGGUUCAGAGUGACGAAAAUGGGAGAUCAAUUGGAAGCAAGAUUUAGUACUUUGGAGUUGAAUCAAGAGGAAUUAUGGCUUGAGCUUCGAGAGAUGAAACAACAGAUGGCUCAAUUAAUAGAAAUGGUUAGAGGUAGUGAUGGAGUUGAGUUUGUUCCUCCUCAAAAACCGUUGUCAUUACCGUCAAGUCAAGGUCAAUUGGCUCCCGAUAGUUCCAACACUCUGCCAGAGUAUGCUAAAGCAUUGGAUGAUUUGAACAGUGAUCAAAGUUUGGGCGAACUUAAGAGAGGAAUGGGUGAACUAGCCACACAAAUGACUGAACUUAAGAGUUUGAUUUCCAAUAAGGAGUCACCUGGCUUCAAACAACCAUCACCAACUAUCUCAAGUCCUAACCCAUACCUAAAUCCUCCGUAUGACCAUUUUCAACCUCCUUUCCAAGCACCUAGGAUUAGACCCCCAAUUUUCAUGCAACCACUAAGAAUUCCACGCCUGAACCCAUAUCCACCAUCUCAUAUCUCACAAUCAUCUGUUCAGCAUACUAUCCCGUCACUACCUUUUGAACCCAAUCUUCGACCCAGAGUUUCUCAAUUCACCUCGAGACCAAUUAUACCAGCACCUUUUCAGCAAAGUAAACCAACCAUAGGACAGAAAAACUCUGGUAACACCAAAGGAAAAGCCCCUAUUGAUCCAAUACCCAUGUCCUAUACAGAGUUAUACUCGCUGCUCCUAGAGAACUGCCUCAUUGCCCCUAUCCCUGCUGAACCUCGUAAAUCGCCUUUCCCUAAAUGGUAUAACCCUAAUGCCCAAUGUGAAUACCAUUUUGGUGUUGUGGGCCAUUCUCUGGAAGAUUGCACAGCUUUGAAACAUAGGGUGCAAGGAUUGAUGAAAGCCGGAUAUCUGAGUUUUGAUGCCAAGAUGAACCCUUCUUUGAUCCAUGUCGAAAUGGUAGACAGUGUUGCAGAUAAUAGUAAAGUUGGUCAGAUUGAUGAAUAAAAAGCUUUUUAAGCAAAGAGUUAUCCUCUCUAGUAAUCAUAGUCAACUAUUUUUCAGGAAAGACAAAGGGAAGUGGGAGCAUGUUUGGCAUUUUUUGGCCCCAGUCCUAGAAUGGUUCAUGAUGUGUAAACUUGAUGCUUUUGGAAAUGAAUAAAAACUUUUUUUUUUUUUUAACCUAGAUUUUCUAUUAAUUGAUGCAUCUGUUUUUAUUGGCAUGCCUAAAAGAGUGUAAGAAAGAAUGAUGGUUGCAAGUAUAUUUUCACCAAACUUUUGAGACAGAAAGGAUACAUCUAGAUGACUCAUUUUGAAUGGAAUUCAAAUUUUUCCUCACCAAAGUAACAAAAUUUGACUUGCAUAUCAUGCAUCAUUUACUUGAAUUCAUUGUUUUUCAUGCCAGCUAAGGAUAAGGAAUGAUAAUUGUAAAUAUACUUGUCAUAACCUUCGAAGCAAUUUUUAGAAUUCAUGCCAUGCAUUUCUGACUUCUGGUAAUUAAUAAAAGGUUCAAGGAUAGCUAUUCUAAGAAACGAGGUCAGUUGAGUCUGCACACUUAUAUCACUCGAGUCAGUACCAUAACCAUGGAAAAUGAAGGUGCCAGUCGAAUGGACAGAGUAGAAAAGGCUCAAGGAGAGAUCGGUGAAACAGUUACGAGAAUGCAACAAAACAUGAAUAGACAACUGGCAGAAUUAAAACAGAUGAUAGUGGAAUUGACAAAAGAAAAAGAAGUUGUUGAGACGCAGAGGAUAAGGGAGGAAACAGCUAUCGAGACACCAUUGUAUCCAUCUGGUUUCACAUAUGUUCAAGACCCCCAUGUGUCACAAGCACCUCUAACAACCGAUCAACCUUAUGUUGGCCAUUUUGCCAAGUUACCAUCAGUACAGACAAAUGUCAAUCCCGGGCAUACUCCUCACAACUUCACUACUGUGCCCAAUAUGGAUGAUCAUAAAGAAUUGAAGAAAUUGAAAAGGGUGUCAGAUCCAUCAAAAGAUAUAGUGAUGAAAGAUAAGUAUGAUCUAUUGGAAGAGAGAUUGAAAGCAAUUGAAAGCCAUGAUGUGUACAGGAAUGUUGGCGCCAGUGAACUUAGUCUAGUACCUGAUCUUGUUAUUCCACCAAAAUUCAAAGCCCCAAGUUUUGAGAAAUAUGAUGGAACGAAAUGCCCUUUAAUACACAUUACCAUGUACUGUCGAAAGAUGACAGGUUACACCCAUGAUGAUAAAUUGUUGAUCCAUUACUUUCAAGAUAGUCUCACUGGACCUGCAGCAAGAUGGUAUGCUCAGUUAGAUCGAAAUAAGAUUCACUCUUGGAAUGAAUUGGCUAGGGCUUUCCUAGCACAAUACAAGCAUGUUGAAGAUAUGGUGCCAGAUAGGUUGUCCCUGCAGAACAUGAAGAAAAGAUCAACUGAAACGUUCAAAGAAUAUGCAUAUAGAUGGAGAGACAUAGCAGCUCAAGUACAACCACCCUUAUCAGAGAAAGAAAUUACUGUUCUGUUUGUCAAUUCUUUGGACACUCCCUAUUAUGAAAGAAUGAUUGGGAAUCUCUCUAAAAAUUUUUCGGACAUGGUGAUUUCUGGUGAAAUUAUAGAAAAUGCAAUUAAGAGUGGCAGGAUUAAGUUAAAAGAUGUGACAGAUGUUGAAGAAGAAAGUACAUCACAGCAGAAUAAAGAAGAGGUGCAAGCAGUCACAUUGGAAGGGCAUCUACCUAAUAGCUUUAUCCCGUACAAUCCUUAUCUUGCUUAUCAACCCCAUCACCUUGCCAUAAGCCAAAACCCAUAUCUUUACCAACCAAGCCAGCAUUUAAGCUUUCCAGCAAACUCUCAUCCUCAAGUGGUCAUUCAUGAUCUUGUUCCCACAUUUGAAUCCACCAUCCGACCAACAAAAAAUCGGAAGAGACCAAGGAAUGAUCAAGAGAAAUUACCCAUCCCUAUUUCUCACCUUUUACCUUUGCUAAUAAAAGGUCGAUAUCUCACUCCUGUGCCUCUGAAAACACCACCAAAUCCAUCAGCAAGGAGUUACAAUCCCAAUGAUAAGUGUGAUUACCAUAUGGGGGCAAUUGGCCACUCAACAGAAAAAUGUAGGCAGUUGGAAGAAAAGGUUGAAGAUCUUAUCAAGAAUGGUAUUCUGACUCCGGAAGUAAUAGAACAAUGGAAGUUGUUGACUCCAUUCAAUUUUCAAAUGUGAGAAGUUAAGAUGAAGAGGGAGGUGUCAAGUUUUAAAAAUCAGGAUAUGAUGAUUUCUUUUUCUACUAUGUAUGUAGGAUAUGUGCAUUGUGUCUCUAAGAGUUAUUUAAAUUAUUUUGGAAGAAUCGAAUACUUUGGAUCUUUUUCAUGAAAUUUUCUCUUUAUGCAUUUGUUUGGAUAAAAAUCCCACAUAAGUAACUUUCAAAAAAAAAAAAAAAAAAAAAAAAGAAGGAAAAAAAAAAAAAAAAAGUUUUAUUUUGAAGAUGAAAGAAUUCUUAAAGAAAAUGGUGAUUACUGUUAGGAAAAAGCUCAUCAAAUACCUUCACACCUUUUCAAAUACUUUCAUCACUUAAAUGAUUGGAUUCAUCAACCAUAACCUUUCAGGGAAUGUGAGUUUGAGUUCAGACUUUAAAAGGCCGAUAAUCUUUUCCAGGGCAAAGAACAAAGGAGAUUAAUUUUGAAAGUUUGUUUUGAAAAUCAGAUAUUCUUUCAAAAUUUUCCAAUUGAUAGUCCAAUGUGUGUCAAAAUUUUGCUAUGACCACAGAUACAAAAACACUUGAGCCUUUAACCUUUGUUCCAUGUCUUAAGGCACAUUGAAAAAAAAAAAUCCCUUUCUGCCUAAGACAAUUUAUUUCAUACCUUUAUACCUUUUCUUUUCCUUUCACCAAAAAAAAAAUGCCAAAAAAAAAAAAAAUUUUUUAAAGCCCAAAGAGCCUUUUGAGCUAUGCGAUCAAUCAUAUAUGGCUUAAUCGUCGUUAGAACCUUGAGUAAAAAGGAUGGGCAUAAUAAAAAAAAAACAAAAAAAAAACAAAAGGGACAUAUUCAAUGAUUUGCUCUUCUACCUAAGUGAUCAUGUUUGAAAUGAUGAAUGGCCAUCUUUCUCUAUCCUUCUCGUACAUAAAAAUUAUCCAUUUGUUACCCAUUUGAGCCUAUUAAAUUUUUUGUUUCAAAAUAAACCCUAGCCAAGGAUCAUUUUCUACAUUAGGGGGCAAAAUUGGGAUACAUUCAAGAUUAACUUCAAAGAAAGUAUCCGAUAUUGAAAGCGUCUAACAUGCCCUUCGAAGGUGAAAGUCUGGGAUAAAAAGUGAACAAUGCUUUGAUUGAAAUUUCAAGAUCCAAGAAAGUGAACGGCCAAAGAUAAAGUUAAGUAUUUCUAAGGCAAAAUAAAAAAACCUUAGAGAUAAGAAUCUGAAGCUUCACUUAGAAUUCAAAAAAAAAAAAUAUGUACCUUGAAAAUGAGAAUUCAAGGCAAAAAAAGAGGUGCGUGAAGUUGCUGAAAUUAAAGCCAAAUGGGGGAUAAAAGAAGAAAGUCAGAGAGUGCCCAUCAGGAUCCUUGGCCUAAUCACCUUGAAUAAUAUAUUUGAGCCUAUUCAUCCGUUCUUUCAGAACCCUUAACCUUGACCUACAUUACACACCCUGAAAAGCCCAUUUUGUUCAAAUAUGGAUACUUGGAUUGAAGAGCAAUAUCCUUGAAUUUGUAUAUACUUGUUGAAUUUUUCAUUGAUAAAGAAGAAAAAAAAAAAAAAAAAAGCUCUAAGGUGAAAACCCAAAAAGGGCAGUUUAGAGCUAAAGUAAUUUCUUGAGGCCCCAAAAUAAAUUUCAGAGUUUCAAGGUUCUAUCCGAAAUAAAAAGUUUCGAUACAAAACCUUUUGGAAGAUCAGUACCCAUUAAAGACCUUUCUAAAAAAAAAAAAGCCUUAUCUUCUUCUCAAAUCUUGUUUGAAGAGUAAUGACUAGUUUUGACUCACAUUGGAGUAUCAUGUUUUCAAUAAAAAAAAGUGUUUUUUUUUUAAAAAAUUUUUAUCUCUUUUGGGAACCCGAGAGAAAUCCUUGCAAUCCUCGCCGAGCUUUACAUGAGAUAUGCCACCAGUAAAAAAUUUGAAUUGUCAAUUACCUCACCUAUGAGCAUUUCAAAUAGUAAUCAUCAAUUUUCAAGAGAUUCAAAAGUCUUGAGUUUUAAAUCUUUUCAUUCAAUUGUAAAAAUACUUUAUGUGGGAUAAUUUUUGAUCACUUUUAAAAAUUUUUUUUUGAGAUUAUUGAAGCAUUUUGUACAUAAUACUGAGAUCAUUUUUUUGGGUGAAAAUGAAACAAAAAAAUUUAAACAAUAAUAAUAAUAAAUUCACCAAAAAAAAAAAACAAAAAAAGGGGGCAAGAAGAGUCUUUGCAUUUGCAUCGCUUGCAUCUGCAUCACAAGAAAGACAUUCGCAUUUGCAUCACUUGUAUAAGACAUUUGCAUUCACACCAUAAGAAGAAUUUGCAUUUGCAUCAUGCCAUCUGCAUCCUAAGAAAAUGUAUUUGUAGGGGCAUCUACAUGAAAAGGACAUUGUCAUUUGCAUUGUGAAAAAGACAAAUGUAUCAAGCAUUUGCAUUCUUAUGUUGGCAUUAACAUUUGCAUCAACAUCAUUUGAUGAGAAUAGACAUUUGUAUCAUGUUUGUAUUUAUCAACUUUGUAAAUAUUUAAAAAAAUAAAAAAAAAGGCAUGUUUUUAAAAUUUUAAAGCCUCUGUUUAAGAGGAACCAAUUUCAAUCAAGAUUUCAAAGCCUCUGUUUAGAGGGAACCUUCCUCAGAAAAGACCUUUAGAGUCUCAAAAAUCUCUAAUCAGGCGAAAGUCAUAGAUUAAAAAAUUUUUAAAUUUUAAAGUUUCAUCGCCUCUGAUUAUGAGGAGCAUUCAAAGAUUUUGAGAUUUAUAAGACCUCCGGGCAUAAUCUCUAGAAGCCUCUGUGCACGACUUUCAAGAUUAAAAAAUUUUUAAAUUUUAAAGUUUCAUCGCCUCUGAUUAUGAGGAGCAUUCAAAGAUUAUAAGACCUCCGGGCAUAAUCUUUAGAAGUCUUUGCGCAGGACUUUUAAGAUUAAAAAGUUUUUAAAUUUUAAAGUUUCAUCGCCUCUGAUUAUGAGGAGCAUUCAAAGAUUUUGAGAUUUAUAAGACCUCCGGGCAUAAUCUCUAAAAGCCUUUGCGUAGGACUUUUAAGAUUAAAAAAAUUUUUAAAUUUUAAAGUUUCAUCGCCUCUAAUUAUGAGGAGCAUUCAAAGAUUUUAUGAUUUUUAAGACCUCCGGGCAUGAUUUGUAAGACCUCCGGGCAUAAAUUUGAUUCGCGGUGUUAUCCCGAUCAAUUCUAUAAUUUUGACUUACGAUGUUAUCCCAAUCAAUUCUGUAAGACCUCCGGGCAUGAUUUUUAAGACCUCCGGGCAAUUCUGAAAGACCUCUGGGUAUAAAUUUGAUUCGCCGUAUUAUCCUGAUCAAUUCUAUAAUUUUGACUUAUGCUGUUAUCCCAAUCAAUUCUGUAAGACCCCCGGGCAUGAUUUUUAAGACCUCCGGGCAUGAUUUCUAAGACCUCCGGGCAUAAAUUUGAUUCACCGUGUUAUCCUGAUCAAUUUUAUAAUUUUGACUUGCGGUGUUAUCCCAGUCAAUUCUGUAAGACCCCCGGGCAUGAUUUUUAAGACCUCCGGGCAUGAUUUCUAAGACCUCCGGGCAUAAAUUUGAUUCACCGUGUUAUCCUGAUCAAUUUUAUAAUUUUGACUUGCGGUGUUAUCCCAGUCAAUUCUGUAAGACCUCCGGGCAUAAAAUUAAUUCGCUGUGUUAUCCCGAUCAUUUCAUUUAUUUUCUGACUUACGGUUCAGUCCCAGUCAUCUUUAAUCCUUGAUUCACGGUUUAAUCCCAGUCAUUUCAUUUAUUCUCUGACUUGUGGUUUAGUCGCAGUCAUUUUUAAUCCUUAGAUUCGUGGUUUAAUCCCGGUCAUUUCAUUUAUUCUCUGACUUACGGUUCAGUCCCAGUCAACUUUAAUCCUUGAUUCGUGGUUUAAUCCCGGUCAUUUCAUUUAUUCUCUGACUUACGGUUCAGUCCCAGUCAACUUUAAUCCUUGAUUCGCGGUUUAAUCCCGGUUAUUUCAUUUAUUCUCUGACUUGCGGUUCAGUCCCAGUCAUCUUUAAUCCUUGAACUCGUGGUUUAAUCUCGGUCAUUUCAUUUAUUCUCUGACUUGCGGUUCAGUCCCAGUCAACUUUAAUCCUUGAUUCACGGCUUAAUCCCGAUCAUUUCAUUAAUUGCUCGACUUGCGGUUCAGUCCCAGUCACCUUUAUUCCUUGACCAUCAGUGUCAUUCCAAUCAUUGUCUUUAUCAUUCUAUUUUAGGAGUCGCUUUAAUCGAUCCUUUAUUUUUCAACUCGCGGUGUCGCUUUCUUUAUUACCUGAUCUGAUCCUACAAAAAAAAAGGGGUCCAUGAUUUGCUUUCGGACAAAAUCGUUGUCUUUAUCUUUGCCCUAUUCCUGAUUCUCAGUAAUGUGCAAAGAGGGGCAGCUGUAGACACCGGUUUUGUCCGGGUCUACUACCAUUUUAUAUAUAUAUAUAUAUUAAUAUUUAUAAUAAUAAAUAAAAAAAUUAAAAAUUAAAAAAAGAAGCAGAAAAAAUUAAAAAAUAAUAAAAUAAAAGACAAAGUCAAAAAAAUAGGGGGGUUGGUGCGGCGCCGCUGCCGCCCCCUGGCAGCCACCCGACCAGCCCCCAACCAACUCUCCUAGCCACCCUACUAGCCACCUGCUACCCACCUCAUACCAAUUCCCUUUUAAACCCGAAAAAAAUCGACAGAACAGAGGCAAAAAAAGGAGGAGAUCCUCAACCUCGUUCAAAAGAAAAAAAAAACAAAAAAAACAGAAACAAAAAAAAAAACACAACAGAAACAGAAAACAAAAAACACAGUCCUCGCCUAUUCGGCGAGGAACCCAGCGCCAAAAAGCCACCUGCAAAAGCAAAAAAGGAAAAAUCGUUAGUAUUUCAACAACAAAAAAAAAAAGAGAGAGAGAAGAAAAACUGAAACUUUGAACCUCGAUCUACGCCGAUCGGGGUUGCUUUUGGCAGAACGGACAACGGAUCUGGGAUCAGGAGGCUGAACAGAACCUCCUGUCCCCUUUUCAAAUUUCUGACCACCGUCGGCGACGGCCCCCACGGCGGCCGGUGAGGCGGCCGGCGACCACGCGGCGGCCGGACGGCAUCCCUCUCCCCUGCUCUCUCUCUCUUCCCUCUCUCCCUUUUUUUUUCUGAAAACCAACCCAACUAACCAAAAAAAAUUUUCUGACCUUUUUAUAUAAACAGCCAAAAUCAAAACGACGUCGUUUCAUUAAAGCCUCAAAACGACGUCGUUUUGAUCCAGAGGAUCCGCGCGUCAACCCGCGAC